UUAUAUUCAAAUUGGAUCGUCCACCUUUCAAAGAGACAUGAUGAGUUGUCACAUCCCUUCAAGUGACAUAUUAAGUUCAGAAUUCGGUUAUUAUCUGUCUUCUGCCUUUCAAAAGACAAGUGAAGUCGUCAUCUCGUUCAAAGUAACAUGUUAUGUGCAUCAUCCUACUUUCAGAAUUGAUUGAUAAAAAUCCUCUUAAUAUGAACCACCAGUAGCUCGCUUCCAAGCUCCGGCAGACCCAAAACCACUUCUUUCUCUCCUCUCCUCCACAGACCAGAACCCCACCGGAAAAAACCACUCAAACCCGACCUAACCAGACUGGAAACAAUCUCUGGAAAGCCAACGAGUUCGUCGCAGCCCAUCGCUCCACCAGUGAGCUCGUGGCUCACCAACAAACACCAAACAGAGCCCAAACAACCCAGAAGACAGAGCAGCCACCACUCUUCUUCUUCAGCUACAACCAAACCAACAAAACCCCAAACCCACCUCUGUCCAACCGCCUAAAACCUCACCUGAAACAGCCAACAACAACGACAUUUAUGGCGAACAACAACAACCACGCGAACCAGCAGCCAUGGAGCUCCAGCAACACGCGGCCAACGAGCCGAAGCUCCACCACGUUGCUGCGCCUUGCCUUCUCAGACGAAACAACGAACUCCGACGGAAUCUUGCUUCCAGAUCUGACCGGACUCAUUAUUUUCCGGUAACCACACUCAUUGCUUCUCUUUGUUUAGUGUUGUUGGUUUGAUUUUGAAAUUUAUUUAAAAUGGUUUGUUGUUAUUAUUAUUUAAGUUUGUUUCAAAUUUACUAUUUAUUAUGUUUUUCUUCUCAUUUUUUUUAAUAUUUGGAAUGAUAAAGUUCUUUGCCAUUUUUUAUUAUUUUGUUAUAUUGGUUGGAUUAUAAUUUUAGUUUGGGUUGAUAUUAUUUUAUUUUGGGGUUGUUUUAUGUGUUUGAAUGAUUUCAACAAAUAUUUUUGAUGGUAUUGUUUCUGUCUUUACUAUUUAGAAAUACUUACUUGAUGUGUUUUUCUGGAAAAAAAUUUAGAUAUUAUUUUGUUUAAAUUAAUUUACUACAUUUUUGGUUCAUUUGUUUCGUCAUUUUUGUUUGGUUUAGUAUGUUUCUUAUAGAGAUAUGCCUAUAUUUAGUACUUUCUGGAAAAUUGCAUCGUUAUCAUUUAGUUGCUCACUAAUUUGUAUUCACUUUUUGUUUUUAGUUCAAAGUUGAUUGUUAUUUUAUUAUUUUUUUAAUUUAUUUUAUUUCCAGAAUGUUGCUUUGAUUACUGUGUUGUUAAUUGUUGCAUAUUAUUUUAUUUAUGUCUUUGUUAGCUUCAUAUGAUUUGGUAUUUUGUUUAUUAAAAUUGACCAAUGAAAAAAUCUUUUCAUCGAUUUUCGAGGCCUCCUCAUUUUAAAAGACAGAAAUUUAGUUUAAGUUCAUAUUCAUUAUUUGUUAAAAUUGGCCGAUGAAGAAAUUACCAUUGAUUUCAAAAGCCCCUCAUGUUAAUAAGACGGUUUUUUUUUAAAGUUAUUAUUUGAUUUAUUUGUUUUUAUUCAUUUAUUAACACUUUUACUAUGUGUCUUUACAAGUCUCAUUGAAGCUAUUCGGAUAGAGUUCGAAUUUCUUUUUUUGUUCAUUAUUGUGUAUAUUAUUGACGUUAGGCAAACAUUAAGUUGUUUCUUAUAUUAUUAUUUUAUUUUUUUAUUUGUGAUUAUUGCAUAUUUAUUGUACUUGUAUAUUAUUUUUAUAUCCUCCUCAAUUUGAAAAAAUUAAUUCAGCUAGGACCCACUUGUGGAUUUCAAAGAAUGUCUAAUACCUUCCUUUUGGAAUAAUUUGAAUCUCUUACCUAGAAUCUAUUAGUUUUAUAGACAUUUUUUUUAUUGAAUUUAUUAAUUAAUUUUCUAAUCCUAAAAUUAGGUGGUGACUCCCUUUCUCUUUAAUCUUUUUAAAAUUCUUUUCAUCCUUUUAAAAUUAUUUAUUUUUUGUGAGUUAUGCGAUGUUGCGCACUCUCAAGGGAUAUCAACAAGCAGUACACUGGAUUCAAUUUAAUACUCCCUCCGUUUCAAAAAGAGUGGUCUAGUUUGACUUGGCACAGAGUUUAAGAAAAUAAAGAAAACGUUUUAAUCUUGUGGUCCUAAAUUAAAGUUAUGUCAAAUGUACAAAAUUGUCCUUUAAUCUUGUGGUCUUAAAUAUGUCAUGUGGAACGGUGAAAGUAAAAUGUUACCAAAAAAGAAAAGAGGUCAUUCUUUUUUAAACAAACUAAAAAUUAAAGGAAGUCAUUCUUUUUUAAACGAAGGAAUAGCUUACAUGGUCUAUAUAGAUUAAAUGGUAAACAUCCACAAUAAUGAACUAAGGUUACUUUCAAAGUAUCUAACAAAGUGUUUUAAUGAUGUUAUGCUUGCAUUGACCAUGACUAUGACUUAUGUUUUCUAACCUUCUAUCUUAUGAUUUUGGUUUGUCAUUGCAUGUCAUGUAAAGUCCUUUUAGCAUGAUUUCAUUACUGUUAUGUAUUAAUAUCAUACUUACUACUUUCUAUGUACUAAUGUGUACAUGUGUCUAUAUUGUUUCACUAAUGUAGGGUCUGAUACUUCACCUCUGGCUAGUUGAUCUCUUGGCAUUAAAAGAUUGGUGAGUCCUCAUAUUUCAAAAAUCGAGACACAUUUACAUGCUUCUUAAAUUUAGUUUUUUUGACAUUUGUAUGUGAUGUAUUAGUUACAUCCCAACCGCUUCCUUUUGAUGUAAUAUAUGACUUGUUGAGACUGUUAGACUUCCACUUUAUCAAAGUCUUGUAUGAUAUAAAACUGUUUCUUUUGAAUUAUUUAUUUCUAUUAUGUUCUAUGAUGUAUGAUAAGUGGCUUGUAUAGGGUCUUUUGGAGUUCUAUACGUCAUGUUACGCCUAAAGUAUACUUUAGGUUGUGACAAUAUAGGAGCAGUAGUCAGCUCCUUGAGCUUCAAAAAUCUCAACUUACACUCCUCAAACCACUCAAAAUGAACAUCAAGGUGAGUCAACCUGGUCAAAGGUGUUGCACCGGUGGAGUAGCCCUCAUCAAAUCGUCUGUAGUAGCCUGCCAAUCCGACGAAGUUCCAAACCUUAGUAACUGAAGUGGGCCUAGCCCAAUCAUGAAUUGCCUCUAUCUUCGUCGGAUUUACCAUGAUGCCAUCCUUGGACACCACGUGCCCCAAUAAUGCUACAGAGUCAUGUAAAAACUUGCACUGGAGCACAAUCCUCAAGUGCUGCUCAUGAUCACUCCUACUCUGUAAAUAUACCAAAAUGUCAUCUAUGAACACAAUGACGAACAAAUCAAGAUAUGACAUGAACAGUUGCAUUAUCAAGUCCAUGAAGGCAACAUAAACACUAGUCAACCCAAAAGACAUCACUAGGACCUCGUAGUGACCAUAACGAGUCCUAAAUGCAGUCUUAGAGAUGUUUGUUUCCCUAAUCCUCAACUGAUGGUAAUCGGAUCUCAAGUCAAUCUUUGAAAACAUUGAGGCACCUUGAAGCUAGUCAAACAGAUAAUCAAUCCUAGGCAUGGGGUAACGGUUCUUCACUGUCACUUUAUUUAACUGCUUAUAAUCAAUACACAUGUUCAUCACACCAUCCUUCUUCUUCACAAAGAGAACGGGAGCACCCCAAGGUGAUAAACUAGGCUUGACGAACCCAUUACCCAAGAGAUCUUGAAGAUGAACACCGAGCUCCUUGAGCUCUGUAGGACCAUCUGGUAUGACAGAAUAGAAAUAGGUCGAGUGUCAGGCUCAAGUUCAAUAGGGAAAUAAAUAUUAGGCUUUGGGGGUAGUUCAGGUAGGUCGUUAGGAAACACGUCUACAAAAUGAUGACCAACUGGAACAAACUCAUCUUAAGGGACCUCCCUACUCAGAUCUUUCACAUAAUAUAAAUAGGACAAACACCUACUAACCUCUGAGCCUAAAUAAAAGAGAUAACCCCAAUCGGUAUGCUACUAAUGGAGCCCUGCCACACCACCGGGGGAAUACCAAACAUGGUUAAGGUAACGGUCUUAGAGAAGCAGUCUAAAACCGCACGGUAGGGGGAUAACAAGUAUAUGCCCAGAAUCACAUCAAAAUCAAGCAUGUCUAACAAUAUAAGGUCAGCCAAGGUGUCACGCCCCUGGAUAGAAACUAAGCAAGAUCGAAACACUUGAUCCACUACUAAAGACUCACCCACGCGGGUAGACACACAUAACAGUGAUACCAUAGUCUCACAACUCAUACCUAACGAAGAAGUAUAAUACACAAACACACAAGAAUAGGUAGACCCUGGAUCAAAUAAGGCUGAGGUGGUCUGAUGGCAUAUAAGAAUCGUACAUGUGAUCAGAUUGUCCAAUGCCUCAGCUUCCGCCCUUGCUGGAACUGCAUAGAAAUGGCUCUAUCUUUCUCUUCCCUGGCCAUCAGUCCUACCAACCUGACCUACCUCUCCAGGGACCACCCCGAAUACCUUGAUGUCCACCGCGAUGAUCCUGACCCUGACCUUGACCCUUAGGUGGAGGUGUUGUUGGUGGAGCUGCAUGUGGAGUGGAAGCAAUCCACCUACUUAUGGGACAAUCUCGGGACUUAUGGUCAAGCUCCCACACUCAAAGAAACCUAAAGAUCUGCUCCCAAAAGAACGACUGCCAUGACUUAAAGCAUAAGACUGGGAUCCAUGACUAGGACUAGAGCCAACUGCACUCCAGUUUUACCAGUCACCCUUUGAAGCCUGUAAUGAGGCUUGAAUAGGCCGGAUGAGUUGGCCCUGUCGAAACCACUUCCUGGGCCUAUCAGAUGAGUCCCUCUGCCUGGAACAAGACCCGUUAUAGUCGCCCUCAUAUGUAGCCCUUUAGUCGCUUUCCCCUUAGGCCUUACUACGAAGAUGCUCAAUAGUGCAGGCGUGAUAAAAAUUAACAUUUACUAAGGAAUGACCUGCAUAGGCCAUAGACUGAGUCCCAAACCGCAACUGAUGUCUCAACCCACAAACAAAACACCAAACUCUCUCCUCUUCAAUAGGUAAAAUCAUGGUAGCAUGAUGGGAGAGCUCCUGAAAUCUCGCCUCAUAUUCAGACAUGGUCAUAGAGACCUGCUCAACCUGAAGAAUUGAUCCAUGAGAUGAUCUCUGAUAGUCUCAAUAAAGGUACAUCACUACGAUCUGGCUGGACCAUUUAGCUAUUAAGUAGGGAAGUUGGCUCCUCUCGACUCCACCAGACCCAAAGUACACAGCCGCUUAUGACAGGUGGUAAGAAACUCACGAGCAUCCUCACCCAUAGUCCUAGAACACCUUGGAGGUGAAAGCCUAAAAAUCACUUUGAGCAUCUUCUGAUCCUCUAGAGGCAUAGCUCCUGGCACAAUCAUGGGUUGGGCACCCCAGGAGGUACCUAGUCCAGAGGUGCCUCUAAUGUAGAUUGAUCCUUCUAACUUGAUGUUGGUGUAGGUGCUAGUGGUGGUGUUGGUGCUUGUGUUGGUGUUGGUAGUGGGGUCGGGGCCUUAUGUAUGCCACCUAGUGUAUAUAGUCAUAAGUUGAGUAAUGGAUGCUUGAAGGUCUGGAGCCAUAGCCGGUCCGGGUGGUGGCUAAGUUGGUUCUGGCCCUACCAACUGCUCUAGAAAAUGGGCUGUUAGAGGAUCCAUUUCUAUCUAUUUGGGGUAGUGUUGCACCCCUAUCAGGCAUGGUGGUCGACCUUUAACCCUAGCCGCCACACGACGCGUGUGAGCUAUCUUGCGAAAAGAGUGAAACAUGUGAUAGUUAAAGAAACCAAUAACACACACUGCACGAAAGCAAAAUAAAAGAGAAGAAUACCUAAAGACACUAUGUAGCCUCCCAAAGAUAGGAUAAGGAUGUCUCCGCACCGAUCCGUAUGACUCUAUUAGGUAUUUUCUCUGUACAAGUGAGACUGAUGAACUUGGGGCUCUGAUACCAACUUGUCAUGACCUGAAUUCCCGAGUCAUGAUUGCACCUACUAUAACCCACCAGUAGGUAAGUUAGCCCGUACCCAAAACGACAAGUAAUGAGUACAUGGGUAGAACUAAUAAAGAAUAAUACUAACAAUAAGAAAGGACAAAAAUGGAAGCCAACCAAAAACUAUAUACAAUAGAAACCAUCCCAAAACCCGAAAGCCCUGAGUAUAGAGCGGUCUAUGAUGAACAAAUACAAGUCCCAAAAGUGGACUACAAUAAACUGUCUCAAAGGAAAAAGACUACGUAACAUAUAUACAUAAGGAGAAAGGCUGAUCCAGGAUGCCAAGUACUCACCCUCGUCUUUGGCAUCCACAAGCUGCUAAAGAUGGCAUGAAUAAUCAUUGUUGGUAACUCGUACUAGGACCUUCAUUAUGAAAAAAUGCAGAGUGUAGCAUUAAACCAAAACAAAGGUACUCAGUAGGCAUCAUAGGCCGAUUAUGCACGAAAUAAAGACAAUUGGAUAAGAUAGAGCCCAAACACAAACAGAGGUUAAAGAAGAUAAGAAAAGAAAGCAUACAAGCAUAUCGAAAUUAAAUCUAAGUACAGCUAAACUAAACCUAACUAGACCCCAUAAGAAAAGAAGGUACACUCGUGCGCAAAUUUAAAUAAAAUCCAAAUUGACCCCAUAAGCCUGACAUAUACACACAAUAGCUAAGUGUAUAAGAAAAGAGUGCCUCCAAACUGGAUCCAACAAGUGGACACUAGGCCUUGCAUACUGAAUGAUAGUCUCUAACUAGAGGUGACGACCUCGAACUGUAAAGCCUCAGCCUCGGACUGGAAAUAUGGCCUUGAACCAUGAACAUCAGCCUUAGACUGGAGAUAAUGGCCUUAAACUAUGAAGAUCGGCCUCCAACCGAAAAUAGUCAUAGUGUCUAGUCAACUCCCAGCCCAACUAGAAAGAGUGAAAAAGUGCAUGUCAAUUCUGAAGAGGAUUCUAAUAUCAAGACUAAGUUGUCGUGGAAUGACAUCCACCCACAAGCAUCCAUAGGAGGCUCCAAGCCUAGAACAACCCAAUCUAAUGUCACCAUUAGGACACACCCCUGCGGUAACCCCUCAGAUCCGUAUAGAUAGGAAGAGAGAGUAAAAGAUCUACAAGUUGCAUAAAAUCCUAAACUAAGGUUCAUACUAUAAAACUCAAGUCUGUCGUUCUAGUCUACAAGGAUCUAAUCCGUCCGAACAACGUCGGAGACAUGCCAAAGCUACAAGGCUUGCUUGUUUAAGACAACACUAUUCUAUUCUAAAAUAAGGUCGAACAUGCUUUAGAAAACAAGAAAUAGCACAAGUAAAUCACAAAGCAUGCAACAAAACAUAUAAAACCCUAACUUACAAGGUACUAUUCUCGAAACAGUGUCGAUAAAUCCUAAAACAUGUUUUCUAAGAGGAAAAGUAGGAAUAACUAGGUAUCAGCCCCCAAUUCACACUAAUCAUCAUGAAUUCACACAUUCAAGCUCAAUCUAUUAAGAAAGAAAGUUGUAGCCUACAUGUAGGUCAACCACGAGCGCACCAAGUCAAAAGGCCGGAGCCUUUUCUUUUCGAACGGACUCCAACCGCUUCCACGCUAUCAAGAAUAGGAUCACAAUGUUAGUAUGGUCGUUUAGGCACCAAAAUCACACAAACUGAAAAUGGACCAAUUUUAAGAGUCAAACGGGAAUUCUGGGACCGCACUCGAAUUUCUAGAAUUGACUCAGUCAAGAAAUCCUAAACUAUGUCAAGAACUUGUGUUCCAAAAUUGAACACAAUUCGAGGCCUAAAAUAGCCAACACAACAACAUGCAGCCAUAAUCAAGAGACCAAGCUAAGGAAGCCCCAAACACACCCAAAUUCACCUCAAACCGAGGUUCUCCAAUAGCUCCCAAUAACUAACCAUGUAGCACUCUUCCAACGAACACACAACUCUUUGAAACACAGAAAUCGGAGCUUAGAAGAGGGAGAUAUUGCAAAAUUAAUCCUUGAACUAAGGUUGCCUUUACGUCUGUCUUUAUUUAAAAACUGGGCCAAAAACUCCUCUUCUUGAACAUGAAGGAGAGGUGUGAAUGAGCCUAGUCAUCCAGUUGGGCACCGCAAACGCAACAACCUAGCACGAACGCAUAGGCUAGGCCUACUGCCACCCACGAACGUGAAAGCCUAGCACGAACGCGCUGGCAAGGGUGCCAGCCCUAUGUGAACACGACCCUAGGUGCGCGAAUGUGGGGCAUGCAAUGAGUUGCACCAACUAUCAGCACAUCAACUGAUAUGCUAAAGCACCAAAACCUUCGAUGGGGUGGCUGAAAUAAUUCGAACCCUGUCCAUGCAAACAAAAUAUGGUACCCCAUCAGAUUCAGCAUUUCAGACUAAAUAGAACCAUUGAAACUUCCAUCCGAGGUCGUUUUGAUGAAAAGUGAGUCACACACUCAAGUUCCAUUUUAAGCAAAAAUCCACAAGGGGGCUCAGAAUCAGCCUAGAAGCCUCGGGAUCCAAACGAACGGUCGUUCUAGACCAAAUUCAACAUUCUGGGGUUAACCAUGAUGAAGGUAUUCUAAUCCGAGCUUGUUUACUAAGAAUGUCAACUAAAGUCAAACUUAGGCGUUAACGUGGAAGUUAAAAUGCCUAAUCGCACAGACUCACACUGAAAGCUUUGGGAGUCAUGUCGACUAUGCUACUAGCCUAAAAUGACCCUUUUGGAGCUGAUGGGGUCAUAAGAAUUGGAUUUUGAGGUUAUCUUCUUGAAAUUUUUAUAAAAAUAACCACUCAAAAUUCAAAAGCUCCAAAACGCUGAAACUUGCAUAAAAACUAAACAAUGACCAGGUGAUUAAAUUGUCAGCCCCAACAAGUCAUAACUGAAUUGGGUCGCUAUAGGAAAUAUAUAACCGAUGAACAUGAGGCAUAGACAUAGAAAUGACCUGGAUGUCAUUAUUCAGCUAUUCGGUUUUAAAAAAUUAUUCUUUUUUUUCUAUUCUUAUACCCAUUACGUGUUGUUUCAGGUUACAAAUUGGCUUACCUACUUGUAGGUUAUAGUAGGUGUCAUCAUGAAUAAAAAAAAUUGAUCAUGACAAAUAAACUUUGCAAACAUGGAGCAAUUAACCAC
rnacentral:lncRNA from 1 species